GGAGAAGACAAAUCUUUCCUGGAAGGAAGAUUUAUUAACACACAUAAAGGGAGAGGUGUGCUUACACAAGACUACAUUGAACCAAAAAGUUUUGUGGUGGAGUAUCGUGGAGUUUUGUCUCUGAGCGACAGUGCAGAUGACAAAAACAGCAAAUAUGCAUUUGAGUUCAUGUGGAAUGGGAAGCACUAUUGCAUAGAUGCUUCAAAAGAGGACGGAACACUGGGACGACUAGUGAAUGAUGAUCACAUACAUCCCAACUGCAAAGUCAAGAGGAUAAUGGUCAAAGGAAGGCCACACUUGUGUCUAUUUUCCAUCAAGGAAAUCUUUCCAGGCGAGGAGAUAACAUUUAACUAUGGUGAUUCCUCUUGGCCAUGGCGCUCAGUGGUGAGUUAAGGUCCACGGGGUCUCUUAUAAAAUUAACAAAUCAUAGUAUGUUAUUUUUAUUACUGUUAACCAAUAAAUGGCAUUAGUGGACCUGUUAUUGUCCUGAAUAUCAGCCCAGCUGCGAUUUGGUUGUAGAGAUGAGGCCACAGGCAAAGAGCAAGAGCACGAGUGUGAUAUUGCUUAAUUAACAAAUAUUUGAACAGGUUCACAGCAUUAGGUGAGGUAGAAGGUCAGCUGGGUCAUUGUAGAUGUUGUUUUAUUUCUUUAUUUAGUUUAUAAAGGACAGUGUGCACUUAAAUUAAUCAUUCAUGAGAAUGUGUACAUCUGCAUAACUGUGAAAACGUUGAGAUUGUAGAAAUUGGUUGUAGACCUACACAUUUUAUGCUACAUGACUCAUUACUCCCAUCUUCUUUUUCUUAAUGACUACUAAGUGAAAACGCUGCCAGACAAGUGACUAGUAAAUUUCCUCUGUACUAUUUCAGGCACCCUGUGAAGAACCAUCUGACCCAAACUUGACGAAAAGUGAGCCAGUCUCAGAAAAGGCAAGUUGUGAUUUGCACCACCACAGUCACUUGCUGUAUCACCUUCAAUACGUUAUAAAUGGUUCUGGUCCUUCAAAGUCUAUAUGACAGGCUCAUUACUCCUGUCUUCCUUCUUUCUGCUGACUAUUAACUAACAUUUCUGCCAUACACAUGGUUGGUGUCGUGACACAAUGUUUGUGAAAUGAAAAUGAAUUGGUUCAUGUUCAAAUGUCAACUCUGUUUCUGUCAUUGACUCAUUCACAGGACAUCUGUGAUGGGGUUGAUAUGAUGGCAACGGUUAGUUCAACUCCCGCAACAUCCAAAGACGACACUGUAAGUUGACAGUAUUCCUGUAAUAUGAUUUUACAUCCAGGCAUAAUACUGGUAAGUUUGAAGUUAUGAUGGUGCUCAAGAGUCCACACACACACACACACUGUCCUGACAGGAUUAUAGGGACAGUGUGUUGUAAGGACAGAAGCAAACCUGUUAAACAUUCAAACUGAGAUUUGUGUGUCGGAUGGGCACUUCUCAGACCUG